rnacentral:rRNA from 1 species
AUUGAACGCUGGCGGCAGGCCUAACACAUGCAAGUCGAGCGAGCGGCGGACGGGUGAGUAAUGUCUGGGAAACUGCCUGAUGGAGGGGGAUAACUACUGGAAACGGUAGCUAAUACCGCAUACCAUCAGAUGUGCCCAGAUGGGAUUAGCUAGUAGGGGGGGGAACGGCCCACCUAGGCGACGAUCCCUAGCUGGGCUGGGAGGAUGACCAGCCACAAUGGAAAUGAGACACGGUCCAGACUCCUACGGGAGGCAGCAGUGGGGAAUAUUGCGCAAUGGGCGGAAGCCUGAUGCAGCCAUGCCGCGUGUGGGAAGAAGGCCUUCGGGUUGUAAAGCACUUUCAGCGUGGAGGCGGUACCCGCAGAAGAAGGACCGGCUAACUCCGUGCCAGCAGCCGCGGUAAUUC